AUCAUCAAACUUUACCGGAAGGAUCGAAGACUGAAGGAAGUUUACCGUAGAUGUUCAAGAUCAGAGUAGUAGUGAAUUGAGAAUUUAUCGGUUAACGCUAAGUAUGAAGAAGACUAGAAUCGGCUACAGCAUUGGGCAGUUAAGGCUAUCGUCGAAAAUCAUACUUUCACCAAGGAGAUUUAUUUACGGGAAAUUGGUUGAUGGAAAGAUCAAUUUUUCCGAGGAAAAUGAAAGAGUGAUGUUACGUGGAGAAAGUUUUUAUCGGAGGAAAUCAAUUUUAGCGAAGAAAGAGUAAUUUUGGGCCGAUACAAGCAAGCGGUGAUCGAACGGAAUCGGAUACGGAGACAAAAAGAUUUAGUGGAGUAAUUAAAUGACUUAGUCAUUUAUUUUUAGAUUUGUCGAAGUGGAAUAGGUAAUGAUCAUUGUGAGCGAACGGUGGUCGGAGAGCUCUCGGUACGAGCGUGUACCGUGAGCGAAUGGAACGAGUGGUCGUGGAGGCCAUGUCGUAGACGUGCUUGUGGCAUAAGCAGCUGUGCCACGAGCUGGAGUGUGUUUUGCGUGAAGCACCACACGCUCGGAUAAGGAUAAACAUGGAUAAAGAUAAGGAUAAGCCUUAUCUUUUCCUUAGCUUGCACGCCAAGCAACCGUAGCUUGUACUCCAAGUUACUAUAGCUUGCUCCCCAAGUUUCCCUACCCUAUAUAAACCCACGAGAUCCCAUUCAUUAUUUCUCACACCAAAAAUCCACCUUAAACCGUUAGUUAGUUCGAGAAGCUUGUCGGAGUCCGAGUCGGGUAGAAGUUUGUCGAGUCGAGAGAUGUAGUCGGGUAAUCCGAUCCAUCGUUAGUACGCGUUGGAGAUAGCUCGGUCGGAUCAAAAUUAUUAGGCGGUCAAGGGUAGAGUUUUAUUCUCUCGACAAUAAGGCCAAGGUGAGUUCCGUAGCGAGUGUAGUAGCACACGACUAGGUUUUAUUUUUGGGUUUAUGAUGGUUAGGCAUGAGGUUGCAUUUUUAUACUUAGUAUAAAUUAUGCAUAAAUUAUG